rnacentral:lncRNA from 1 species
CACAUGUUUGUGAUGUUUACGACUUAUAACGCAGCACAGCAGGAAGCUUUUUACUCAGCAUCCAUGGUUCCACCCGUGGUUCCAUCCAUGGUUCCAUCCGUGGUUCUACCCGUGUUUCCAUCCAUGGUUCCAUCCGUAGUUCUACCCGUGGUUUUAUCCUUGGUUCCAUCCGUGGUUCCAUUCGUGGUUCCACCCGUGGUUCCACCUGUGGUACCAUCUGUGGUUCCAUUCGUGGUUCUACCCUUGAUUUCAUUUUUGGUUCCAUCUGUGGUUCCAGCCAUGGUUCCAUCCGUGGUUCUACCCGUGGUUUCAUCCUUGGUUCCAUCCUUGGUUCCACCUGGGGUUCCAUCCGUGGUUCCACCCGUGGUUCCACUCGUGGUUCCACCCGUGGUUCCACCUGUGGUACCAUCCGUGGUUCCAUCCGUGGUUCCAUUUGUGGUUCCAUCCGUGUUUCCACCAGUGGUUCCACCUGUGGUACCAUCUGUGGUUCCAUUUGUUUUUCUACCCGUGGUUUCAUCCGUGGUUCUACCCGUGGUUCCACCCGUGGUUCCAUCCGUGGUUCCAUCCGUGGUUCCAUCUGUGGUUCCAUCCGUGGUUCCACCCGUGGUUCCACCUGUGGUACCAUCUGUGGUUCCAUUUGUGGAUCCACUCGUGGUUCCACCCGUGGCUCCACUCGUGGUUCCACCCGUGGUUCCACCAGUGGUACCAUCCAUGGUUCCAUCCGUGGUUCCAUCCGUGGUUCCAUCUGUGGUUCCAUCCGUGGUUCCAUCCGUGUUUCCACCAGUGGUUCCACCUGUGGUACCAUUUGUGGUUCCAUUUGUUUUUCUACCCGUGGUUCCACCCGUGGUUCCACCAGUGGUUCCACCUGUGGUACCAUCUGUGGUUCCAUUUGUGGUUCCAUCCGUGGUUCCACCAGUGGUUCCACCUGUGGUACCAUCUGUGGUUCCACCUGUGGUUCCACCUGUGGUUCCAUCCGUGGUUCCAUCUGUGGGUCCAUCCGUGGUUCCAUCUGUGGUUCCAUCCGUGGUUCCACCCAUGGUUCCAUCCAUGGUUCCAUCCAUGGUUUCAUCCUUGGUUCCACCCGUGGUUCCACCCGUGGUUCCCUCCGUGCGGCAGAGACAGGGUCAGAUCGGGUUCAGGUGCUGGUUUGUGUGAACUGGAACCUCACACACCAGUGAUGGUUCCUCCUCUGUUUGAAGACACCCCAGUGUUCUUGACGUGGUUCCACGCAGCCUGACUCACUUCUCCCACUCAUGCGUGUGUUGUUGUGGUGUUUUCGCCUCCCCGCGCUCACAGAACGUGUCUGUUUGUGUGAGUCAGACAGCGAGGGGCUGCCUCUGACUGCCUCCGUCCCCUCAGGGCUCAGAUGAGCGGCUCUGUGUAACUUCUGUCAUUUGUCUAAACAGAGGUUAACACACGUGGACGCGCGCUGUUUCCACCUCGUUUACAGUUGUCGGAUCCAGCUUUGUUCCAUUAACACACACACAAACCUCUUUUC